rnacentral:rRNA from 1 species
UACGUAGGCAGCGAGCGUUGUUCGGAAUUACUGGACGUAAAGAGUGUGUAGGCGGUGCUCCCAGUCUGUUGUGAAAUCUCCCGGCUUAACUGGGAGGGUGCAGCGGAAACUAGAGUGCUAGAGGGUGGGAGAGGUAAGCGGAAUUCCUGGUGUAGCGGUGAAAUGCGUAGAUAUCAGGAGGAACACCUGUGGUGUAGACAGCUUACUGGACCACUUCUGACGCUGAGACACGAAAGCGUGGGUAGCAAACAGG